CCCUUAGAUGUUCUGGGCUGCACGCGCGCUACACUGACAUACUCAGCAAGUUUCCUUUCCCGAAAGGGUUGGGUAAUCUUGUUAGUGUAUGUCGUGAUGGGGAUAGAAUAUUGUAAUUAUUGCUCUUUAACGAGGAAUUCCUAGUAAGCGCAAGUCAACAGCUUGCGCUGAUUACGUCCCUGCCCUUUGUACACACCGCCCGUCGCUCCUACCGAUUGGGUGAUCCGGUGAAGCGUUCGGACCGUGGCCUUUGGACGGUUCGCCGUCUGUUGGCUGCGGGAAGUUCGUUAAACCUUAUCAUUUAGAGGAAGGAGAAGUCGUAACA
rnacentral:rRNA from 1 species